GGGGAAUAUUGCACAAUGGGGGAAACCCUGAUGCAGCGACGCCGCGUGAGUGAAGAAGUAUUUCGGUAUGUAAAGCUCUAUCAGCAGGGACGAUAAUGACGGUACCUGACUAAGAAGCCCCGGCUAACUACGUGCCAGCAGCCGCGGUAAUACGUAGGGGGCAAGCGUUAUCCGGAUUUACUGGGUGUAAAGGGAGCGUAGACGGUUAUGUAAGUCAGAUGUGAAAGCCCAGGGCUCAACCCUGGGACUGCAUUUGAAACUAUGUAACUGGAGUGCAGGAGAGGUAAGUGGAAUUCCUAGUGUAGCGGUGAAAUGCGUAGAUAUUAGGAGGAACACCAGUGGCGAAGGCGGCUUACUGGACUGUAACUGACGUUGAGGCUCGAAAGCGUGGGGAGCAAAC
rnacentral:rRNA from 1 species